GCACGAAGCUGGAAUCGCUAGUAAUCGCGGAUCAGAAUGCCGCGGUGAAUACGUUCCCGGGUCUUGUACACACCGCCCGUCACACCAUGGGAGCCGGGAAUGCCCGAAGUCUGUGGCCCAACCGAGAGGGGGGAGCAGCCGAAGGCAGGCCUGGUGACUGGGGUGAAGUCGUAACAAGGUACC
rnacentral:rRNA from 1 species